CCCCCUUUUAGCUCAGUGGUCGAGCGUUGGCUUUGGAAGCCACAGGUCGGUGGUUCGAAACCAUUAGGGCA
rnacentral:tRNA from 1 species